ACGAACGCUGGCGGCGUGCCUAACACGAUGCAAGUCGAGCGGGGACGAUGCGACGGAAGUGAAGUUUCGGAUGGAGCUGAAGAUGUAUGUUCUAGCGGCGGACGGGUGAGUAACGCGUGAGCAACCUAUCCUCACAGGGGGAUAACACAGCGAAAGUUGUACUAAUACCGCAUAAGACCACGAUCGGGGCAUCCCGGAGGGGUCAAAGGAGCAAUCCGGUGAAGGGUGGGCUCGCGUCCGAUUAGAUAGUUGUGGGUAACGGCCUACCAAGUCGACGAUCGGUAGCCGACCUGAGAGGGUGAUCGGCCACAUUGGGACUGAGACACGGCCCAAACUCCUACGGGAGGCAGCAGUGGGGAAUAUUGGGCAAUGGGGGAAACCCUGACCCAGCAACGCCGCGUGAGGGAAGAAGGUUUUCGGAUCGUAAACCUCUGUCCCAGGUGAAGAGAAAGAGACGGUAGCCUGGGAGGAAGCCCCGGCUAACUACGUGCCAGCCGCCGC
rnacentral:rRNA from 1 species